CCCCAGUUGCAGCCAGUCUCCUAACGGACAGCAAAGCAGGAUACGUCUGAGCUACGUCACAGCAAGUCUUUCUACGAAACACCCUGCAGAGGGUCAAAUCUUUGGAACCCUUGCUUACCUUUUUCGGAGGUUUCCCUUCAGUUGAAAAUGGUGGAAACCGACCACUUUUGGAAAUACACACUCCGUCACGUAUUCCUUCACAAAAGGAAAACGGGAUGUGCAAAUGGAAAAGAAGCAGAAGAAUCAACAACC
rnacentral:misc_RNA from 1 species